rnacentral:rRNA from 1 species
AGUGAACGCUGGCGGUAGGCCUAACACAUGCAAGUCGAACGGCAGCACAGUAAGAGCUUGCUCUUACGGGUGGCGAGUGGCGGACGGGUGAGGAAUACAUCGGAAUCUACUUUUUCGUGGGGGAUAACGUAGGGAAACUUACGCUAAUACCGCAUACGACCUACGGGUGAAAGCAGGGGAUCUUCGGACCUUGCGCGAUUGAAUGAGCCGAUGUCGGAUUAGCUAGUUGGCGGGGUAAAGGCCCACCAAGGCGACGAUACGUAGCUGAUCUGAGAGGAUGAUCGGCCACACUGGAACUGAGACACGGUCCAGACUCCUACGGGAGGCAGCAGUGGGGAAUAUUGGACAAUGGGCGCAAGCCUGAUCCAGCCAUGCCGCGUGGGUGAAGAAGGCCUUCGGGUUGUAAAGCCCUUUUGUUGGGAAAGAAAAGCAGCAGGUGAAUACCCCGCUGUUCUGACGGUACCCAAAGAAUAAGCACCGGCUAACUUCGUG